GCUGCUGUUCAACAGCUGAGCCCAGCGAGGCUGGCUUUCAGCAGAGGCUGUUCUCCUGCAACAUGUUCAGAGUGAAAAGUGCAGUUUCCUGUUCCAUUCGGCUCUGAGCAGCUCACCCCCUGCUGGCUUCAGAUCUGUCGCAUUGAAGACCUCAGCUGGUGCUGGUCUCCUCUCUGAAGCAGAGUCUCUCAACCAGUUAGCCUCAAGAAAAGCGCAGGGGGGCUUGUGCAGGCUGGAGAACCGGCUGAGCCAAGGUCUGAGGCCAUGGCUCAUUUUCCCUGCUGCUCUGAGGUGAGCACCCCAUCUGUGAGGCUCAGGAGCUGGUCCGACCCUGCAGGCAUUACUGAGGCUGGAGCGUUGGCAUGUGCCCUAGGAGGAAUGCUCACUUAAGAUAUCUGCAGUUGGAAAGUCUCCGCAUCUCCCUCCUGACACCACUGUCUUCUCAGAAUAAUAAAUCACCACACUUUAUAUGAA